CCGAAAGGAUUCGAGGGUGGAGGGGUUCGUUCGGGUGAUAGGCCAAAACUGGUUUGGCAAGCGGCGGCCCAGUCAAGCAGGCGGGUAGUUGUACCCUGGGCUCGGAGGAGAGGACGGUUAAGGAAGGAUCGGUCGGUGGUGCGCCGGUGUUCCGAAAUGGAUCCGUCGCCAGGUGUGCCCACCUGCUUAGGUACGCAAAAAGUUGCCAAACAAAUCGCCUCGUGGGCCAGAGGGAGGAGGCGGAGACGGACGAAGGCAGCAGAGGGCGGCGGUGGUUGGCACAGACUAACCAGCAACCAGCGUAUUAAGCGGUCAUAUAUACAGUGCUUAGUAACACCGACUUAAGGGCCUUCCCUUUCGCUCCAUCGGCACUUAACCCGUGCGUCGUCGAGCCCAAAGUCGAGGUCGAGCUCGAGCAGGGCACUACUACCUCUUCCCCCCGUCUCCCGACAGGACGGCCCGGCGCCAGACGCCGUAGCAGCAGGACGAGACGCGGUGGCGGAAGAGGACGAGGGAGCGGCGGCUCAAGGCGUCUCAGUUCCUGCCCCUGUACUUCGACCUGCCGUCGGAGACGAGGGACGGGUCCUCGAGGCGGAAGCUUAACCCGCAGCGCCGGUAGCGGAAGGAGAGGCAGCGCGUCGAGCAGCCGUGGUGGCGCCGCCGCUGGUGGUACACGCGGAGGUCGAGUUUCGGGCCGUUCGGGCAGCGGUGGCCUCCGGCGCAGCGCGGGCAGCGCGAGGACCGGGAGAGUACCCACACGAAGCGCGACCGGCACUAGGACGACCGCUGCCGCCGCUCGUACUUGUCGCCCGUCGCGAUGCCGGCCCCCACCUACCUGCCGCUGACGAUGCAGCGGUCCUUGCCGCACAAGCCGCCGCGGCGGCGGGACCAGCAGCAGUGCCGCGAGGAGUAGGAGCCGGAGUGGAAGCAGUGGUUUUGGCGCCGCCGGCCGAGCUCGUGCUGCCGCACGCGGUCUGCUCUGCGGCGGACGUGUUGAUGGUAGGCACAGCUGCGCCGUUGUCCGCGCUCGGGCCCUGUCGGCCCGCCCGCUAGGUUCGUUACUAGCCACGACCGUAGCCGUCUAGCUAGCCUGUGCUCCCGCCCGGCCCGGUUGGCCACCUCUCCAGCUACUGUGCGAAGCGACAAGCAGGGCGUUUCCGGUUCGGCUCACCCUCGUAGAAGAAGAGGAAAACCAGAGCCCACCCCGUAGAACCAUCCGACCGUUUCGACUCUUUCCGCUAGAGCCCUCAUGACGACCACCCAACCUACCCUCCCUGUGUCAUGUAUCUUAAUGACUGUGUAAAUGACUGCACCGGCACGUUUCACAUUUACUGUAAUGGCUUGACCAUUCUUCCUUUCUAGGAGUUCCUAGCAUGUCUUGUCUCG
rnacentral:rRNA from 1 species